UCAGUGAAUCAUCGAAUCUUUGAACGCACAUUGCGCCCGCCAGUAUUCUGGCGGGCAUGCCUGUCCGAGCGUCAU
rnacentral:rRNA from 1 species